GGAAAGUGACAAGUGUUCGAAAGAGAAACGAAAGACAAUUAAUGGGGAUGAUUUGCUGGGGGCUAUGGCAACUUUGGGAUUUGAAGAUUACGUUGAUCCAUUAAAGGUGUAUCUGGCUAGAUGGAGGGUGAUACCAAAUGAUCAGGAUAGGGUGCAGAUGGAUCUUUGAAAGGAUGCACUAGUAACUAAUCCUAGU